rnacentral:rRNA from 1 species
AUGGAUGGUGGUGGUGCUGAGGAUGGGGAAGGCGCUGCGGAGGAAAGCCAGUGCGCGGCGGCGGAGGGGUCCGACCUUGGCGCCCCCGCGGAUCCGGCGAUGGCGAGCCUUGGCGACGGCGGUGGUCCGGAGGGGUCGGGCCAGCGCGCGGCUACGGUUGCGGAGGGGCCGGGUCAGCGCACGUCUUCGGCAGGAGGCGGUGUCUCGGCUGCAGCAAUCACGGGCCAGGGCGGGGCAUGGGCUGAGGGCUCAACCGCCGACGUGGCUGGAGGCUCAGGCCAAGGUAUGGCUGGUUCGGGCUCGACAGCAGCUGUAGGCUCAGGCCAAUACGCUGCUGAAUCGGCAUCAGCAGCAGCUGCAGGGUCAGGCCAGGGUGCAGCUCGGUUGGCCUCCGCUACAUGGGCGUGUCCAGAUGGGAUGGAUCCAAAUUCAAGUUAUUUGAUAAAAAUUGAAUUGUUUGGCAACAAAAAAAAAGCUCGAAAAGACAUCUGA